UUUUUUAGUUCCAAAAAUUUCUCCGAUUUUUCUCCUUUCUCCGAUUACCCUUCUUAAAACUGCCCGGUGACAGCGUCUCUGCAACGAGCUGCCGGUAAUUGACGUUACAAAAAAUUUUAAAUUGCUUCUCAUUCAAAACUCUAGAAAUAUUUUUAGUACUAUUUAGCUUAAUUUAAUCGGAAUUAGGUUGAGGCAUGGCGGCACCACCGCCGCGGGAGCAGGCGAUGGCUUUACUUGCCGCCGCAAACAACCACGGCGAUUUGGCAGUAAAGAUAUCGUCUUUGAAGCAAGCAAAAGAUAUUCUGUUAGCGGCUGAGCCGUUUCAAGCCGCCGAACUAUUUCCUUUUCUGGUCGAGCUUCAGUCAUCGCCUGAAAGUCUCGUUCGAAAAACCCUUGUUGAUGUAAUUGAGGACAUUGGGUUGAAAGCAUUGGAGCAUUUUUCCGUACUAAUGCCAGUUUUAAUGACAUUCUUAAAAGAUGAAAAUGCUAUGGUCGUGAAGCAAUCCAUAAUUACAGGCACGGGUAUCUUUUGUAGUGUGUUGGAGGAGUUAUCAUUGCAGUUUCUCCGGCAUGGCACUGUUGAGAUGUGGCUUGAAGACCUUUGGACAUCAAUGGUUAAAUUCAAGGAAGCUGUUCUUGACAUACUUUUUGAGGCUGCUCCUCUUGGCAUAAAGAUUCUGACAAUAAAGUUCCUUGAAGUACAAAUUUUACUUUUCACACCUGAUAGAAAUGACUCUGAAAGAUCCGCAGGAGAAGGUAUCGGAAGAGAAGGACAGGGGUUUAAUAUCUCAUGGCUGGCUGGUCAUCACCCUGUUCUGGAUACAGCUAUGCUUACAUCAGAUGCAAAUAGAUCUCUUGGGAUUUUAUUGGAUUUGUUGCAAUCAGCUAGCAAUCUCCCUGGUUUAUUAACAAUAUCUGUUGUUAAUAGUCUUGCAGUUAUUGCAAGAAAACGGCCUACCAACUACAAUCCCAUACUUUCAGCACUGCUUGAUUUUGAUUCCAAAUUUGAGAUGACAAAGGGUGGCCAUAUUGCCAGUAUCCAGUAUUCGAUACGAACUGCUUUUCUGGGUUUUCUAAGAUGUUCCGACCCGGUCAUGUUGGAGUCAAGAGAGAUAUUGCUGAAGGCUUUGAGAGCAAUGAAUGCUGCGGAUGCAGCUGAUCAGGCUCUCCGACAAGUUGAAAAGAUGAUGAGAAUUAAUGGACGUGCUUCACGCGACUCUAGGCUGAGCAAGGAUGAGCAACUGUCAGAUCACUCGCCUGCUUCAGUGGAUCAUGGGAGGAAGAGGUCCUUAUGUUUAGAUAAUGAAGAUCCAGAUGAUAACAAUGAUGUAGCUCUAAAAAGAGGUCGUUAUGGCUCUAAUAACCACGUAGCUCCAUCUGUUGACAAAAAUGAUUCAGGGCAAGAUUUUGUAAAUGGGGUGUCCCCAAAGGUUCCCUUAUUGGACAGCAAUUUGACCCCUGUUGAGCAAAUGAUUGCAAUGAUUGGUGCUCUAAUUGCAGAAGGAGAAAGGGGUGUUGAAUCUCUUGAAAUUCUAAUAUCUAAUAUCCAUCCAGAUUUGUUGGCUGAUAUAGUCAUAACUAAUAUGAGACACUUGCCUAAAAAUCCUCCUCCUUUAACUAGACCAUCUACUUCAGCUCGACAAGGUGAUUCAAGCAGUCCAUCUCAGAGUGUGGCACCAGUGGGCUCCACCGUUCUCGUGGAAGCUCCAGAAGUUGCAGCUCAAGUGCCUGUAUCUUCAUCAAAUGCAAUUAGCUCUUCAUCCUUUGAUAUGUCUACUUCCAAUAGUCUCCCUUCUGAUUCAAAGCGCGAUCCACGAAGAGAUCCUCGUCGUCUUGACCCAAGGCGUAUGAUGGCAUCUGUUAGUGUGCCUGUGGCUUCUGCUUCAGAGGAUAAUUCAAAUGCUACACAAACUGGUGGAUUACAACUUCAUGUGGAUUCUUCUAGUCCUUUUAUCAAGCCUCUUUCACCACCAGGAAACCUGAGCUCUGAAAGUAUAUUGGUUCCCAUGAUGCCUAAAUCUGAUGCUGGUUUGAGUUCACUAGAAACUUUGCCGACAUAUUAUGUUGAUCUGGUUACUGAAGAGGAAGCUGAGAAGGAUGGAUCAAGGGAAGUUGUUCCUGAUGGAGAGGAAAAAGGUGCUUUGGAGGUUCCAUCAGUCCCACUCAUUGAUGAGCAAGAGUUGGUGGGACAGUCAUCAUCAGAAUUUACAAUGGUGGAUGAAGUUUACUCCCCACCGUCACUGGAAGCAGAUGAACUUUCUCCUGCUAUUUCUGACAUGGAAGCCUCUGAGGAUGCAAGUGUAGAGUUGCCCGUGCUUCCAUCCUAUAUCAACUUGACUGAGAAACAGCAGAGCAAUGCCACAACAUUGGCAAUUGAACGGAUUUUUGGCUCUUACAAGAAUUUGCGAGGCCCAGGUGACAAACAAAUGCGCAUGGCAUUGCUUGCACGAUUGGUGGCACAGAUUGAUGCUGCUGCUGAUGAUGGUAUCGUGGCAAUGCUAAAACAACUUGCUUUGGACUACCAUCGCCAAAAGGGGCAUGAACUCGUCCUGCAUGUGCUUUUCCACCUACAUUCAUUUAUGUUAUCAGAUUCAGAAGAAACCUUGCCACUUGCUGCUACUGCCUAUGAGAAUUUCCUGACUGGAGUGGCAAAAUCCUUGCUGGAGAGUUUACCAGCCACUGACAAGUCAUUCAGUCGUCUUCUUGGUGAUGUUCCUCUUUUAACGGAUUCUGUGAUGAAACUUCUGGAUGACUUGUGCUGUGAAAGAUAUUUGGCAAAAGAUGCUUCUGAUGACCGUGUUUCUCAAGGUCUGGGUGCUGUCUGGAGCUUGAUUUUGGGGCGGCCACUUAAUCGUCAGGCCUGCUUGGAUAUUGCUUUAAAGUGUGCCGUCCAUCCCCAGGACCACAUUCGAGCAAAAGCUAUCCGUCUGGUGGCAAAAAAACUCUAUGUGCUUGGUUACAUUUCAGAGAGCAUUGAGCAGUUUGCAACGAGAAUGUUCUUGUCCGCCAUUGAUCAACGUGCUUCAGAUGUAGGCCUUUCUCAGUGUGGAGGGAGUGAACAGAGGGCAGAACCAGAGGUGGGAAGCCAAGAAACAUCUAUUAGUGGUUCUCAAGUUUCAGAGCCAGGGGUAUCUGAAAUCGUCUCCAUGAAGGGUGCAGAAAUUGAUACUCAAACUGAAUCUGCAGUGACAUUGGCUCAUGCUCAGCAGCAUGUGUCUCUGCUUUUUGCCUUAUGCCCAAAGAAACCUAGUCUCCUACGAAUUGUAUUUGAUAAUUAUGCACGUUCUCCCAAGGCGAUUAAGCAGGCUGUACAUCGCCAUAUUCCUGUUCUUAUAAGGGCUUUUGGGUCCUCCUAUUCUCAGCUGCUUGAAAAAAUAUCUGAUCCACCCACAGGAAGUGAAAAUCUUUUAACUCAGGUGAUCAGUGUUCUAUCCGAAGGGACAACACCUCCAGCUGAUGUUAUUGCCGUUGUCAAACUUUUAUAUGAAACAAAGCUGAAGGAUGCUACUAUUCUCAUUCCAAUACUAUCGUCAUUUUCCAGAAAGGAGGUUUUACCUAUUUUUCCUCAGCUGGUUAACCUCCCAUCAGAUAAGUUUCAGACAGCACUUGCCCACAUACUACAGGGUUCUGCUCAUACAGGUCCCGCUUUGACACCGGCAGAAGUGAUGGUGGCAAUACACGACAUUAAUCCUGAAAGAGAUCAUCUUCCACUUAAAAAGAUUACAGAUGCUUGCUCAGUGUGCUUUGAGCAGCGAACGGUUUUCACCCAGCAGGUCAUGGCAAAGGCCUUAAAUCAGAUGGUGGAUCAAACUCCUCUACCACUUCUAUUCAUGAGGACUGUGAUUCAAACUACUGAUGCUUUCCCUGCUCUGGUGGAUUUUGUCAUGGAGUUACUGUCCAAACUUGUGAGUAGACAGCCCGCCAAUUUAUGGCCUAGAGUUUGUGCAUUGGCUGCAGGUAUGGAGAAUGCCAAAGCUGUGGGUAGGGUUUUUGAAAUGUGUAUCACAAACCCAGCCUCAUUCCUUCCGUGUGUUACUGCAGUUGCCAUCACCCCAGCUUGAAAGUGCUCUUAACAAAUAUACUCACCUUCGAGGACCACUAGCUACCUAUGCAAGCCAACCUAGUGUGAGAAAUUCAUUAACUAGAUCAACGCUGGUACUUCUCAACCUUGUCGAUGAACCACAUCUGCAGAAAUCACAUCUUACAUCUUCAUUGCAUCCCCCAGACACUAGCUCUUCCCUUCAUGGAGCAAUGCCAACGUGACCCUUAUGUUUUCUGGAAUCUGCAACACCAAACCUUUUUCUUCACUCUCUGGGAAUUGCUUGAUCCCAGGAUUCCAGUCCCUGCAAGCUCGGUUGAAACUGGGAGUUCCGGCUCCAGCCAAUAUCUGCGUUACAAUUUAUUUGGAGCAAGGACUUCUAGUGCUGAUCCCGAAAAGGUUGGACAAUUCUGGGCCGUCACUCAGCACAAGGUGUUUUGGAAAAAAUUUCCUGGGCGGAAAUUCUCCCUCUGCACCAAAUCAUAGAAUUUCUAAUCACCGUGUCAUAGCUUAGCGAUUAUGAUCAAUAAAGAAGUUUAAUUUUUCUCAAAAGCUGUUGCUUGUAGACACGAGAGAUUAUUCGUUUAUGGAUUUUGCUUGCUUAUUGUUUGCGAUGAUUUUUGCCCACGGACAAGCAAGCAGCAAAUGAUAUUGGUGUACCCUCCCACUUAGUUUGGUUGGGAACUUACCCUUUUCCAGGAAUGAGCAUGCAAUCCAUCCAGAAUGAUUGAAUCCCCUA